rnacentral:rRNA from 1 species
GUGGGGAAUUUUGGACAAUGGGCGAAAGCCUGAUCCAGCCAUGCCGCGUGCAGGAUGAAGGCCUUCGGGUUGUAAACUGCUUUUGUACGGAACGAAAAGACUCCUUCUAAUAAAGGGGGUCCAUGACGGUACCGUAAGAAUAAGCACCGGCUAACUACGUGCCAGCAGCCGCGGUAAUACGUAGGGCGCAAGCGUUAAGCGGAAUUACUGGGCGUAAAGCGUGCGCAGGCGGUUAUAUAAGACAGAUGUGAAAUCCCCGGGCUCAACCUGGGAACUGCAUUUGUGACUGUAUAGCUAGAGUACGGUAGAGGGGGAUGGAAUUCCGCGUGUAGCAGUGAAAUGCGUAGAUAUGCGGAGGAACACCGAUGGCGAAGGCAAUCCCCUGGACCUGUACUGACGCUCAUGCACGAAAGCGUGGGGAGCAAACAGGAUUAGAUACCCCAGUAGUCC